UGUUGUGCUUUGGCCUGUUAUCUCACCAACUUAUAAACCCACAGUUGAACAAUUUAAAAUACAAGAAAUAAAGACACCAAGAGAAUUACGAGGUUCGGCAAAAACCUGCCUACGUCAUCGGAGAGAUAUUGCUCUUCACUAUGAGAAUAGCUAGUACAAAAUAUACAUGAGUUAAAUUGACAUAACCCAAACCCCAAUCUCUUGUACACUCACAGAAUUUUUCCAAGAGCCUCACUCUCCCCUAGAGUUUCUCACUCUCACUUUAUUUUCUUUUCCCUCUGUGUUUUCCGGAUGCACCCCUGUCUUUCUUCACACUCGGCAAACAUUUAUAUACAAUGCAAGCAAUUCCUUGCAUUUAAAUAAAGGCCAUCAUUUCAAUCCCCCAGCUUUUACGGAAGGCUUUAUCAUUCCACAUGCUUUGCAUGAAACUAUGCAUCCCCUCCCUUUGCCUUUAAUCGAAUCACAAUGCCACCUUCACGUGAAAAAAAGCAAAUGGGAAAACAUGAAAAGAAAACCUAGCCUAUAAAAUAGACUUUUUUCAUGCAUAGAAAGCAUACAUAUUUACGUGCAAACAAACACAAAGACAACACUUUGCUACAGCCAUUUCCCUGUAGCACAUAAAGCUAAACUAUCAAAAUUGUUGCCAACUCAAACUAUGAGCCAAUCACAACAAUCUCCACCUUGGCGAAUACACCAUGCAAAAAUCCUUGCACCCAUCACCAAAGCUCAUUGGCCUUACGUACCAGCAUACACACCCUGAAUCAACCUCGUUGGUCCUGUUCCGAUUCAGUCACUGCCAAUGCAUGUGCAGCUGCUGCAAGCUAAAAACACCAUUUAGCUUCAGACAGGAUCUCGACACAUCCUCGUCUCCUCCUGUAGGAUUUCCCCCUCUUUAUUGUCUGCAACUUGGAAACUCGUCAGUGCACCCGUUUCCAGCAACAACCCAUCGAGCCAGACAAAAUUCCCCACACUUCUCUUCCUUCAGGACCAUCUCAUCACCUGUGAAUCCCAUAGCUCCACCUGCUGCAAAUCCCUUGCAACACUCAAGACUAAACAUCACCAAGAGAAGUGUUGCUUCGAGUACCUAGAGGGCAUACUCGAAGUCUUCUGCCACAAAAUUGCUACUACUCGGACCAAGAUCAUCCUUUCUUUUUCUCAAAGGACAAUUUUUCUUUUUAUGCCCGAAUUCUUUGCAGUAGUAGCAUUGUAGACCCUUGCCUCCGGAACCGAAUUUGAACCUGUUGUCUCUCUCAGAUCCUCCUCCCAAUUUUCUUCCACGAUUCCAACCUUGAACAGCUAAAGCAGUCUCGUGCCCACCAUCAACAAUGGUCUUCUUCUUUUGUGUAUCAUAAGACACUAAAGAAGCCUGCACCUGCUCCAAACUUACUGUAUCUUUUCCAUGCAGUAAGGUUGUCACAAGAUUUUCAUACGAAUCUGGAAGUGAGGUAAGAAGUAAGAGGGCUUUAUCUUCUUCCUCAACCUUAACAUCAACUUUCCGCAAUUGAUCCAAGUAUCCGUUGAACACAUUCAUAUGGUCCAUGAGAUUCCCGCCUUCAUCCAUCUUUAGCUUGUACAGCUUCCGCUUCAGAUGUAACUUGUUGGUCAAACUCUUAGCAAUAUAGAGUUUUUCCAACUUCUCCCAGAGUGCAGGCGCAAAAUCUUCAUCCAUAACAUUAUUGAUAAUGUUGUCAGCUAUACAGUGUCGAAUUGUGCUAACACAACGCGACUCUAGCUCUUCCCAUUGGUCAUCUGUCAUUUCUUUAGGCUUCCCAUCUUUUCCCUUCAAAACUCUAGCCAAGCCUUGUUGAGUCAAGACAUCCUUUACUCUCAUCUGCCAAAGAGUAAAACUGCCUUUCCCAUUAAACUUCUCAACUGAAAAUGACAUGUUUGUAGUCAUCAUGGUGAAUAACAAAUCUGGACCUUCAAUGAACCAAAGCUUCCAACAAAGCUCUGAUACCAAUUGUUGUGCUUUGGCCUGUUAUCUCACCAACUUAUAAACCCACAGUUGAACAAUUUAAAGUACAAGAAAUAAAGGCACCAAGAGAAUUACGAGGUUCGGCAAAAACCUACCUACGUCCUCGGAGAGAUAUUGCUCUUCACUAUGAGAAUAACUAGUACAAAAUAUACAUGAGUUAAAUUGACAUAACCCAAACCCCAAUCUCUUGUACACUCACAGAAUUUUUCCAAGAGCCUCACUCUCCCCUAGAGUUUCUCACUCUCACUCUAUUUUCUUUUCCCUCUGUGUUUUCCGGA
rnacentral:lncRNA from 1 species